CGUCGAAAAUGUGUUUUCGUGGUUUGGUUUGGAUUUGGUUCAAUUUGGGGUUUAUUUGUUUGCUCUUCUGCUUUUAUUUUGCCCGAAAACGACAGGGAAAGGAAGAAGAAUUCGUCGCGGAAGGAGGAGGGGAGGGGGAGGGUGGGGUGUGUAUGCGUGUAUGCGUCGCACGCCCUCGUCUCGCGUCGUCGCAGUGGAGCCUGGUCGCUCCCGUCGACCGUCCCCCUCGAGUUUUCCGUUUGUUCUGAGAGAUAGAGAGACGAAAGAGGGGCAAACUCCAAACUGGAGCGGAGGUCGAGGUCGGGGCGUUCAGAGGGGGAAGAGGAGGGGAGCGCUGCUGGCAGCGGCCGUUACCGCCGGCGGAGCCUCCUCCGGUAGUUCGUCAAGAGGCACGAGUACCUCGUCGAACUCCUCGGCGAGUUCUGGUGUAAGGUCUUACACGUGGUUCCUAUAGGUGCUCCCUGAGACGACGCAAAAGAGUUCCGGUCUCUUACCUUGCAAGGAUUUCGUAUAUUUUACGAUUACCUAACGAACUUAACCUCCGAAGUCUUACUCUAACUGUCGCAAGAUCGGUUUGGUUAUAACGGGCGACUAAACAUAUCUAGAUAAGCACUAUGUGAUGAACAACCUAAUUGUCCUAUAAGGUUCGUCCCAGUUGGACAGAUACGUAAGCCACAACCCGAGUCAUGGAAACUGUCUCGUAGCCACUUGAUGAUAAACGUCAGAGUGUAUGUCUACUUACUCAUAGCUCUAGCACAACAGGACGGUCCACGUAGACUCUACAGGCCUUUUGUCUAAUUGUGGACGAACUUUCAAUACCUAUACUGACCGGACUUCGAAAGACGAAACUUGGUUUAUUUCUACAACUCGUGCUAUUGUCGACAACUACUGGAAUUAAUAGGACUCUUUUGGCUCUGCAUAAUGUAGCACUUGCGAGGUAUACAAAAAAGCCGUACAACCUUCCAACACUUCGGAGAAAAUGUUCUCGCUUGAUUUUUCUUCUAGUUUCAGAACAUACCGGGACCUUCUCUACUUAAUGACUUCCAAUACCUGAUGCGCAGUGAGGGCGUGAAGACGUUCUCCCUUCCCAGGCCAAGUCCGAGCAGCAGCCUACUUCAGCUGACGAUGAGCAUGCUGGUAGGUAAGGUGGUCCUCGACAUGUUGAUACACUUCGUCGUUCGAGACUCCUUGGUCCUGUCGCAGCCGGGGCGCUUCGUUCCCAGCUACGUACACUCCCACGGCUGCGGCCUGGACCUUCUCCGGUUCUAGUACCUCUGCUAGGUCAGCCUCGAGGUGUCGGAGUUCCCUCCGCUGCCGUAAAGGGCGAGGAAGUCGUCCUAGUGGUAGCUUCCUGGUACUACCAUAAUAAAGGACGAGUAUAGGUUCUAGCGGUACCUACACUGGGUACUACUAGCCUCACGGAGCUCUACGCGCCUCGUCCAUUAGCGAAUAAAAUAGAAUAAACUGCGGUCCUUUAAUAAGACCCCAAAUAUCGUCAAGAACGAACGUAACAUUGGCGACCGACUUUUCGAGCUGAUCCUAGUAUAGCCAUCUCCUUCGUCGUCAUCAUCAUUAUCAUCAUCAUUUUGUUGCCUAAGAUUAUUGGCUCACUCAGACAUAGCACAACAGCUCCUACCAUCAUUAAUCAAACUAAUUGGACCGAUUACCUACAUGGUAAACGCAAAAUGACAAAGGUAGGUACGAAGAGUACCGUCCCUUUAAUGGUACGAGGGUCUGUACUCAUCGUGGUAGAGAUACAUAGCAUAGUUAGUAGUCAUAUAUCAUAUACAUACAUAUACAUUAGCGGGAGACUACAACGUUGACCAUAAUGGUAAUACAUAAACCACAAAUGGACUUUUUCUUAGACGACAGACAAAGUUGAACGUACGUGACUCAGCCUAGAACCGGUUCGUGACUAUUGACGAGGGACGGAGGUAUUUAUCUGAACGCAAAACCAACGGGCGCCAAUGGCGUCGUUCCGUCGUAUAUUCUACACAGUGGAAGGUAAGUGGAGUGGAGUAGAGUGGAUCGAUCGUUGUCUCUGGUUUAGAGACGUAGAACGCCGCUCGAAAGAAAGUGGUCUUCGCCCCCCCGC
rnacentral:rRNA from 1 species